GCUGCCUCACUAGCUCUUCAGAAAGGAGAAUUCUUUUCCAUUUCCGGUAAUUUGCUCUCGUCAGCUGUCAAAAUAUUGUUUAAACUUGUGCGCAGUUUGGCUUCAAACAAACUAUUUCGCCAUUAAUGUCUGUAAGUCAGAUAGUGGGACAGUCAAGGCAGUGCUUGUCAAGACUUCCUGCUUUGUCUGUCUGUAGCUCUGACAUACCUGCCAGAGGCUGUCAACCAACUAGAAAGAUGUCAACCAAAAUAAAAAUGGCAGACCGCCUUAAAGGCACUGAGAGGAAUGUCUGGGUUGAAUUUGGAAAGCUUGCUGCUGAUUAUAAAGCCAUCAAUCUAGGUCAGGGAUUUCCAGAUUAUCAUCCACCACAACAUGUCCUUGAUGAGUUUGCAAAAACUAUAACCAGUUCGGAAAAUUCACUGUUCCACCAGUACACUAGGUCUUAUGGCCACCCACAUUUGGUGAAAACACUGGCCCAGCUGUACAGCCCUAUCAUGGGCAGACAGAUUGAUGCUAUGUCAGAAGUGAUGGUCAGUGUUGGAGCAUUUGGUAUCUUAUUCUCUACCAUACAGGGGCUGGUCAACCCCGGAGAUGAGGUGAUUAUAAUAGAACCAUACUUUGACUGCUAUGAACCAAUGGUUAAAGUGGCUGGUGGAACUCCCGUGUUUAUUCCUCUAAGACCAUCCAAAACAGAGGGAACAGUGACCAGUCACGACUGGAAGUUAGACAAAGAAGAACUAGCCAGCAAAUUUAGUAGUAAAACAAAGGCUAUUGUCUUUAAUAAUCCAAAUAAUCCAGUUGGUAAAGUCUACAAGAUGGAUGAGGUAGAGAUGAUAGCAGAUCUAUGUAAGAAACAUGAUGCCGUAUGUAUAGCUGAUGAAGUAUAUGAGUGGAUGAUCUACUCUGACAAUAAACACAUCAAAAUUGCCACAUUACCAGGGAUGUGGGAAAGAACAAUCACAAUUGGCAGUGCUGGUAAGACCUUCAGUGCCACUGGUUGGAAGCUCGGCUGGGGUAUUGGUCCAUCAGAGCUCAUACAGGCUUUAUCAGUAUUACAUCAGAACUCUAUAUACACCUGUCCAACACCUAUACAGGAAGCAGUUGCAUCAGGAUUAGACUAUGAGAUCUCAGUAUUUGGUGACCAAGAAAAGUGCUAUCUGCAGUCACUGGCACUAGAACUGCUCCCAAAGAGAGACAUGCUGGCCAAAGUACUCGCAGAAGUUGGCAUCACACCAACAAUUCCAGAGGGUGGAUACUUCAUGAUGGCUGAUAUUUCUAAACUGGAUGUUGAAAUCCCAGAUGAUGGUACAGAUGAUCCAUAUGAUUUCAAGUUUAUUAGAUGGAUGUGCAAGGAAAAGAAAUUGUCAGCAAUUCCACCAACAGCAUUUUAUUCUCAAGGAGACAAAAAAUUGGGAGAAAAGUUUAUCAGAUUCUGUUUCAUCAAGAAUCCCAAGUGAGAAUUAUAUUCUGUUUGUCUCACUAAUUGUGUUAUCCUCAAUGAAGUGAACACUGUGAUUUUCACCAUCUAUUAUCUGUAAUAUCCUAACCAUGCCUUUCUCAAGUUAAUUAAAAUGAUGAAUGAUGAAACAUUAGAGGCAGCAUCUAAAGUGUUACGCUCUUGGAAUGUGGCUGUUAAAAAGUAAACCAAUAUUGACUUACGCAAGAUGCCAUAUAGUCAUGGAAAUGUGUGAGGGAUUUUAACCAGCUUGACAAAACUUCGUCUUCAACAAUGUGAUAUAUAGCAAUCUAAAAUUUAUUAAUAUUAAAUCAUAAAUGCUUAGUAAUUAGGUUUAUAUGGAAACUGAGAGUGGACAACUUUUAUAUUGAGUACUAUGAGAAAUCAUGUAUAUAAAAUCCAAUUCAGGAAUAUUGAUACUCCAUGUUGCGAAAAAGAAAUGCAACGCCUGAGAACACAAUUUUGAGGUUUUCAGAAUUUGUUGUCUUACAGAUCUUAUUUUUUGAGAGAGAAAAAAACUGGCUAGUACUAGCUGUGGUGAGGUUUUAACCUUGGUUAAAUAAGAAUUAUUAAGCCUCAUUUCUUUUUCAGUGGCUGUUGAAAUAAAUUUAAAUGCAGA